GAUGAACGCUAGCUACAGGCUUAACACAUGCAAGUCGAGGGGACACGAUAUUGGAAGCUUGCUUCCGAGAGGCGUCGACCGCCGCACGGGUCAGUAACGCGUAUCCAACCUGCCCACCACUUGGGGCUAACCUUGCGAAAGUAAGUCUAAUACCCAAUCAUAUCUCUAGAAAACAUCCGAAAGCGAUUCCAGACUUGUCGGUGCUGGAUGGGGAUGCGUCUGAGUAGGUUGUUGGCGGGGUAACGGUCCACCAAGGCGACGAUCAGUAAUGGUUCUGAGAGGCAGGUCCCCCACAUAGGAACUGAGACACGGUCCAAAGUCCUACGGGAGGCAGCAGUGAGGAAUAUUGGUCAAUGGGCGAGAGCCUGAACCAGCCAAGUAGCGUGCAGGAUGACGGCCCUAUGGGUUGUAAACUGCUUUUAUAAGGGAAUAAAGUGAGAGUCGUGACUCUUUUUGCAUGUACCUUAUGAGUAAGGACCGGCUAAGUCCGUGCCAGCCGCCGCGGUAAUAC
rnacentral:rRNA from 1 species